rnacentral:rRNA from 1 species
GAUGAACGCUGGCGGCGUGCCUAAUACAUGCAAGUCGAGCGAACAGACGAGGAGCUUGCUCCUCUGACGUUAGCGGCGGACGGGUGAGUAACACGUGGAUAACCUACCUAUAAGACUGGGAUAACUUCGGGAAACCGGAGCUAAUACCGGAUAAUAUAUUGAACCGCAUGGUUCAAUAGUGAAAGACGGUUUUGCUGUCACUUAUAGAUGGAUCCGCGCCGCAUUAGCUAGUUGGUAAGGUAACGGCUUACCAAGGCAACGAUGCGUAGCCGACCUGAGAGGGUGAUCGGCCACACUGGAACUGAGACACGGUCCAGACUCCUACGGGAGGCAGCAGUAGGGAAUCUUCCGCAAUGGGCGAUAGCCUGACGGAGCAACGCCGCGUGAGUGAUGAAGGUCUUCGGAUCGUAAAACUCUGUUAUUAGGGAAGAACAAAUGUGUAAGUAACUAUGCACGUCAUGACGGUACCUAAUCAGAAAGCCACGGCUAACUACGUG